GAUGAAGAUUUCACCUCUGGGAAAGAAGGGAAGAAAUCUCUUUUUAAAAAAAUGGAUCUAGGACCCGUUUCUCAGAACUCGACCUCAGACACAGGGGAAGCAACCCCAGAUCGUCAACCAUGAGAAGACCAACCCCCAGUGCUCCUCACUACAAGGAGAGAGAAAAGUGUCUCCCUGGAUGGUCAGCCUCUGCUUCCUGGCCUUGGAGUCCCCAGUGGGGAGCAUCACGGGGAGGCCUGCACCCUGCCCUGAUGGAGAAUGCAAGGACCCUGCACGGAAGAACCCAAAUCCACAAGUCAACCCUCACGCCCUGAGGCAAGUGCUCCGUCCAGGUGAGAGCUGGGCUGUAGGUGUGCCACCUGCUGCAGACAGCAAGGCCGCGGUGCCCUCUACCCUUCCAAGGGGCCCACGUGGCCUCCGUGGCCGUGCCUGCUGGGUGGCAUGGAGAGCGGGGUGGGGGCGACGCCGUCCCCCACAGCUCCUCUGCCCGAGUCACCUCCUUCAAUAGUUUCUUUCACCAGCCCUGGGGGAGCCCCGAGCUACAGGUUUUAUAGCCCCAGGAGGUUCCAUUCAAGCCGCCCUGUUCCUGCAGAAUUUCUCCAUGGCUCUCCGCACUUGAGGAAAGGAAAGAAGAAAAUCAAGGAUGCCUAAAAUACACCAAAAGCAUCUGUUGCUUAAAACUCUUUCAUUCUGCUGAUUAAAAAAUAAAUAAAUAAAAAGGAAUGAACUUCAGAAAACGAAGAUCUCACCCGAAAUAGGAAUUCCAUGCAUGUCGCUCCUUAAAUUAAACUAAAAUAGCUUCAAGCUUAAAGUUUCUAUAACAUGAUAAAAAGCAGGCAGGUCAACCCUGGAAGACACUCACGUGUCCACCGUGGCCCGGAGGUGAGGGAAGUGGUCUUUGCAUCUCAGGGCUCAAGUGGAGUGUGGUAGGUGCACAAAGAACUCUUCCUGAACCAAUGCCUGCACGAGCGAGCGCGCCUUACCUGGCCUCCCUCUUGUCCGGGGCCUCCCCCCUGCCUGCCCCCUAC
rnacentral:lncRNA from 1 species